UACGUAGGGAGCAAGCGUUGUCCGGAAUCAUUGGGCGUAAAGCGCGCGUAGGUGGCUCUAUAAGUCCGUUGUGAAAGUCAAAGGCUCAACCUUUGAAAGCCGAUGGAUACUGUAGAGCUAGAGUCCGGAAGAGGCGAGUGGAAUUCCUGGUGUAGCGGUGGAAUGCGCAGAUAUCAGGAGGAACACCAAUAGCGAAGGCAGCUCGCUGGGACGUGACUGACACUAAGGCCCGAAAGCGUGGGGAGCGAACAGG
rnacentral:rRNA from 1 species